UCCUAUGGUGUAGAGGUUAGCACUCUGGACUUUGAAUCCAUUGACCUGGGUUCAAAUCCCACCUUCAGAA